rnacentral:tmRNA from 1 species
GGGACUGACUUGGAUUUGACUGCAAGAUGCGUUGAAUUGUAAGCAUGUCGAGCAUUGUUUUUUGGCUCGUAAAUAUCAAAAUUCAACUUUUUUAAUUGGCGAAAAUAAUUACGCUUUAGCUGCCUAAUUGAUAUAAUUACGUAUGCUUUUGUCUCUGUCUAAGGAUCUCCUGAUUCCUUAUACUAAGGAGGCAUCAUUAAGUUCAGGAUAAUUAAUCUAUUUCUUCUAUAGAUUAGUGAAAAGUUAUGAAGAUAAGAAUUAGGAGUGGUUGCUUUUUCCCGACCUUUUUUCGAAAAAUAAAAUUAGAUAAACAUGUAGAAAUCUUUUUAACUCCUUGUUAGGACGUGGGUUCGAAACCCACCAGUUCCAC